CUACGGGACGCAGCAGUGAGGAAUAUUGCACAAUGGGGGGAACCCUGAUGCAGCAACGCCGCGUGGAGGAUGACGCAUUUCGGUGUGUAAACUCCUUUUAUAUGUCAAGAAAAUGACGGUAGCAUAUGAAUAAGCACCGGCUAACUCCGUGCCAGCAGCCGCGGUAAUACGGAGGGUGCAAGCGUUACUCGGAAUCACUGGGCGUAAAGGACGCGUAGGCGGGUUGGAAAGUCAGGUGUGAAAUCCUACAGCUUAACGGUAGAACUGCACUUGAAACUUCUAAUCUAGAGUAUGGGAGGGGAGAUGGAAUUAGUGGUGUAGGGGUAAAAUCCGUAGAUAUCACUAGGAAUACCUAAAGCGAAGGCGAUCUCCUGGAACAUUACUGACGCUAAGGCGUGAAAGCGUGGGGAGCAAACAGGAUUAGAUACCCCUGUAGUC
rnacentral:rRNA from 1 species